GGCCUUCUGCCCGCGAUGCUGACCCCCUCUGCCGCCGGUGACGAGCCACCUCUCCGACUUCCCUGUGCGCCGGCCGAAGUUUCCCUUCCUUGUGUCUCUGAUCUAGAGUGAUUGCGGCCUUGUUUCUGCCCUAUGCGACGCCGCCUCUGUACACUAUGCCUAGGUCGCCGGAAAUCAAGAGCUUAAGAAGGUGACAGGGGGUAGUUGUAACCCGGCCAGUGGGACUGAAGGUGAGGGCUUAGGGUUUGUUUUUGUUUUCAAUUCUGUGCUUUGAUUCUUAUCCUGCCGUGAGCAGCACUUGGGUGUGGGAUGGCUAAUUUAGUGUAUAGGGUUUGGUGGACAGCGGCUUCACCAACUUCUGAUUCUCGCUGUCAUCAUCGAAGAAGAGCAACUUGAUCAGGGCAGUAGGUUGUUACGUCUGGCCAGUAGGUUUGAUUUGGGGCUGUUGGAACUUGUCGUGGCAAUCUUGCUUUGGUUGAGGGCAUCAAGGAAGAGUGGAUUUCCAGCCACUCACCUUGUUCCAGCAGCAAA